ensembl:lncRNA
GAUGACCCCAGUGUUACCGAAUCGUCAUGGCAACUAGGUAUAUGUGGUGUCAUCAUCUUGCUCUUCCUGGUGGGCGGAGCUCUAGUAGGAAUGUGGGCACGGCAUAGAAAGACAACCAAUCAGCAACCAGUUGCACAAAGUCAGAAUACUGAUCCUGGACUGAUGCUGACUCCAGUCCAGGACAAUCUAAAUGCUGCUGAUCUCAAGGAUACAAACAUCUAUGUGACCCUCCAAAGGAUCAGACCAGCUGCACAGCCUCCCAAGAAAGAGGAUGACAUAUAUGUCACCAUGCGCUUUAAUCAGGACGGUCUACAGCUUCCUGUUCAGUUCCCACGCAAAAGGAGCGACCUGCCCACGGACUGGAUGACUGAAGAGACAGCAGCAUCUUCUGUUGAGGAGACGACUGAGGAGACAGCAGUAUCUACUGUUGAGGAGACGACUGAGGAGACAGCAGCAUCUACUGUUGAGGAGAUGACGGAAGAGACAGCAGCAUCACCUGUUGAGGACAUGACUGAAGAGACAGCAGCAUCAUAUAUUGAGGAGAUGGCUGCUUCACCUCCGGCCUCUCCACUACCCCAAACAGAUGAGGUCAUUUAUGAACGAAUGCACUGAAUAGCUUUGGCACUUUGUUGUCUAGAAAUUCCCCAAAUGGCUGGUUCUCAUUUGAAGGAAUGGUGAUGAGACCUGUUGAGACAUGUUGGGCAUUUUUAUUGUGCACAAGCAGUAAUGUGUUUGCCUUGGCAAAAACUCAAAAACAUUGAAAGACUGGUAAAGACUUUAUCAUUAUU